UUCCCUUCGGGGGCAGGGGUGCAGGUGGUGCAUGGUUGUCGUCAGCUCGUGUCGUGAGAUGUUGGGUUAAGUCCCGCAACGAGCGCAACCCUUGUCCUUAGUUGCCAGCAUUUGGUUGGGCACUCUAGGGAGACUGCCGGUGACAAACCGGAGGAAGGUGGGGAUGACGUCAAAUCAUCAUGCCCCUUAUGAGUUGGGCUACACACGUGCUACAAUGGACGGUACAAAGGGCAGCGAAGCCGCGAGGUGGAGCCAAUCCCAGAAAGCCGUUCUCAGUUCGGAUUGCAGGCUGCAACUCGCCUGCAUGAAGUCGGAAUCGCUAGUAAUCGCAGGUCAGCAUACUGCGGUGAAUACGUUCCCGGGCCUUGUACACA
rnacentral:rRNA from 1 species